AGGUUGUCGGCGAGGAGCUGAUUGGCUGCAGAGCAAGGGUUUGGUGGCCGCUUGAUCAAGUGUAUGUGAUUUCACUGAAUUAAUUAUUAUGCAUCCAAGCUUCAGCUGUUCCUGUCAAAAGUUAUAUCACAUAGCAUUCACAUUCUGUAGGUUCUAUGAAAGAUAUUCUUUUGUCGAACUGCAACAUGAAAAGACAUUAUUAUCAGGAGGAUCAAUUUCAAAAUCAGCUUACAUGCUGCUUAUAAAUGGAUAUAAAACUCAUGUAGUAUAACCAAUCAAAAGGGGGAGAAAAAAACUGAUCCCUUCCAAAAGAAGAUGAGAAUCCGGAAUUUCAUAGCUAUAGUGGAGAAACAAUUGAUAGAAACUAAAAACAAAUAUUUGCGAAUUGCAUGGCCUAUGAAAAUAAAAUGGCUACCCUAUUAUAUUGGGUGAUCUAUCAGAAGUUAUUGGGAAGCUUUACUCUAUUUCAUGAUGUAGAUAACAGGAGCAUCUACUUAUACUUGAUGUUCUGUUCUGAGCCGGCUUAUAUGCUUAAGUUUAGUCGUGUGAAUUGAAGCAGUUAAAGCUACUAAGGCUUUUGAUAUUUCAACCUGUUGAAGCUCCAUAUUGUUUUGCACAAAAUUCUUCAUAUUGGGAGUGAACUCUACCAUAUUCAAUUCAAUUGGCAAUUUCAUUAGGAUCUUCAAAGUAAGCAUCUUUUCAAUGUCAAUUUCAGGAGCUUCUUGCUCUGGCUUCCGAAAAGAAUGAGCUAUGUGAGUUUGUACGCUUCUAUAAUCUCUUCUUUGUAUGUGCUAUAUAUCAAAGCCACAGACAUUAGUGACACUAUAGAAGAUUCAUUGAGAUGUCGAACUCAAGAGCUUUUGGCUUGAAUAUGAAAUUAGAUAUAUAUUUCAAAAUCCACCUUCUGACUCAAACCUAUUCAUUCUAGAAUUUGAAUAUGCUACUGCACAAGAGAAAAGUAGAAUCCAUGCUAGAAUUUCAGUCAAAAGUCGCUGCCUAAGCCCCAUGCUAAUUAAACACCAUUAGAGUGUCCCAAUUUGAUGAACUCCGCACCUAUUAUUGAGGUGCCAACAACAACAGAGCCCAUUUUGGAAGAGCCUGCCACACCUGAGCCAGAGCAAGAAGCUCCUUAAAUCGACAUUGAAAAGAUGCUUACGUUGAAGAUCCUAAUGAGAUUCCCAUAGUUGAAUUGAAUAUGCGCAGCUCACUCACAAUAUGAAGAACUUUGUGCAAAACAAUAUGGAGCUUCAACAGGUUGAAAUGUCAAAAGCCUUUGUAGCUUUAACUCCAGAAGCUGCUUCAAUUUACAUGCCUAAACCUGAGCAUAUAAGCUGGCCCAGAACUGAACAUCAAGUGUAAGCAGAUGCUCCUGAUAUCUGCAUCAUGAAAUAGAGUAAAGCUUUCCAAUAACUUCUGAUAGAUCACCCAAUACAGUAGGGUAGCCAUUUUUUUCCCUUGGCUAUGCAAUUCGCAUAAAUUUGUUUUCACUUUCUAUCAAUUCUUUCUCCAUUACAGAUAUGAACUUCCGGAUUCUCAUCCUCUUUUGGCAGGGGUCAGUUUUUUUUCUUUCCCUUUUGAUCGGUUAUAAUACAUGAGUUUUACAUCCAUAUAUAAGCAGUAUGUAAGCAGAUAUUGAAAUUGAUCCUCCUGAUAAUUAUGUCUUUUCAUGUUGCAGUUCGACAAAAGAAUGUCUUUCAUAAAACCUACAGAAUGUGAAUGCUAAACGAUAUAACUUUUGACAGGAAUAGUAGAACUUGACUGCAUAAUAAUUAAUCCAAAAUCAUAUACUGAAUUAAUUAUUACAAGUUUUACAUGUUGACUAGCUCUUUCACUGAGUGAAGUUUAGCAAGUCCAAUAAAAUACAUAGUUAUUUACAUCAGUCACGUGACACCAUGCAAAAAGGUUCGUCAAGCAGAUAGCUUUCAUAAUGUGGUAGGGAGUUAAAACCUUUCUCUUCUUCUCCUGCUUUCUUUAAUUUCUUUACAAAAUUACUGAUAUGCACCCUCCCUCAUUUUUUAAAAGAAAACAAAAAUCAUAAAACGUUAUACUUCACUUUUCCAGAUAAUUACAGUUUCUUUCUAGCAUUUUGUUGAUAGGCAAUUUCUUUGUAGUAUAUUUGGGAUGCAAACAAGAUAUAAGACGCUUUUUAGAAUCAUAUAUUAUACUAAAAGUGGGAAGCAACAAAGUUAAAAGUUAGAUUACUAAAGUAACCCUAUAAAGUUAGUGACUAUAAUACCCUUUGAAAAAUAGAUAUACUACCUUCUUCAUGAAAACAACACAUUAACUUUCUCUUUGUUGUUACAGAAAAUAAGAAUUUUGAAUAGUUACCUAAAAAUUAGUGCAUUAAAUUCAAUCAACGAAAAAAUAAAUACACGUACGGGCCAUAUUCAUCUACUUAAUGCCUCUACUUGGUAGAAAAUCUAAAGACGACGUUUGGACUUUGGAGUGGAGUCUUUGUCCCUUCACUUUCUUCAUUUUAAUUCCCUUUAAAUUUUUACAUUAAGUUUAAGUUACAAUUCACCAACUUAAUUAAUUGUCUUUCUCAUAUUUAAGAUUGACUUUUACAAAAAUAUACAUAAAUCUUCAAUAACAAAAGAGAUGUUUUGCUGAUUUCCCUGGAAAGAGAAGUCGAGACAGCAGCAGCGAGGUUAGUCUCCAUUUCAUUUUGCCUAAAGUCUCUUAGAGCUGUGCGAGUUCGUUAUAUGUUUAUUCUGUCAGUAGAUCAGUAAAUUUAAAUGUAAGAAAAUUAAAUGUAAAAAGAUUAAAUAUUUAUCUUAUGGUUGUUUUUCUUUCAUAAUAUCUAUUGAUUUCUUUGCCUAUAAUAUCAUACGGAUUUUAGUGCUAUUUAUAUAUUUCUAACAAGUUAUGACGAUGUUUGUUUCAACAGGAUUGUGUCUGUGAUUGAGAGUUAUUACUUUUCGCGAGUUAUUUUCCUAAUUUUGUUUCUAACUUAUUAGUCACACUCGGUAAACAUUUGAUCACUUAAUUUUUCAUUCUUUGCUUCUUCUUCUUCUUAUGUUGCAGACAAUUGGCUGUUGUUGGUAUUGGUGCUAGGGCUUCUUUUUGGACAAAUACUAAGGUGCCUGAUUGCAUUAUUGAAUCAUAUUGCCAGAUAAGGAAAAAGAAAGAGGUGAGAGUACUUGUAUGGAACCUUUCUACCUAUAACCUACACAUCUUUGUUCAGAUCUCUUUCUUAAGAUCACGUGGAAAGAUUAGAUUGAAACAGGCACAUUAUAUGUUUAUACUGCAAAGUUCGGAGAUAUUUCAUUGACGUUUCCCUUUUGUUUCUUUCUGGUGGUAUAACUUCUUUCUUGAUUUACAUUUGACCAUAGCAAUUUAAAUCUCCAAAUUUGGGCAAAGCUGAAAGUGCGCUCGUCCUUAUUCUUUUACGAUAGUUUGUUUUGGAAAAAAUUAUUCAUGGCUCUGCCCGUUUUCUCUUUGGGUGGUAAAUAGGUCAAUUUUUUCUAUAAGGAAACUGUCCUCAUUCUCUCUCUUUUUAUUAAUUACUUCUUGUUAAGUCAAAUUACUGCAAUCAAAAUCUUAGAUCCCGGGGAGGAAAGAUUAUAAUGACACUCAUCUCUUUCUGUUUCUCGGUUGGUACGUUCUGCUUCAAGCACGUGUUUCUGCUUCAUUUCAGCCUCCAUGUUUUCUCUACCACAACAACCGCUGCACUUCAGAUUUAAUCUAGUUGAAGUUAGUUAUAUAAAUCCUCACUAUCCAUUUCGUUCCAUUUUGAUGCUUAUUAAUCCAAUAUCCGAUUGGUUUUUGCUCCAGUUUGCUGGUCACAAAUAUUCAGUAACCUCGGUCCUCUAAAGCCAGAGGUUCUUCACAAUUUCUACUCACAUACAGAUCUCAAAAGGACUAAAAAGACUCUGAGCAAACAUUAUACUGCAUACUUUCCUAAGCUAGAGGUUCUUCACAAUUUCUACUCACAUACAGAUCUCAAAAAGACUAAAAAGACUCCGAGCAUACAUUAUACUGCAUACUUUCCUGACUAAGCCAUGUUUUUUCUUAUAUAUAUAUAUUUUUUUAUUUUUUAUUUUUUAUUUUUUUUUACAAAGUCCACUAUACUAAUACCCUUUACUCAUCUGACCCCAAGAGACUCUCGUUGGCCAUAAUUCCUCAACUUCUCCCUCUCCAGUAGUCGUUAAAGCAGAUAAUGGUGUCAAAGAUGGCUAAAUGAUGAUCCAAGGAGCAUUGUAUGCUUGAUUGGCUAAGAUGCCCUUGUAAGGAAACCAAGAGAUACUUCACGUUGCUGAGAGCUACAACAGGACAGAUCUUUUCAUUGAAAUCAAUUGACUUCCUUCUUUGAGCAAAAGGCUUUGAAUGUUGAUGAUGAUGUGGCGGUGCUAACUCCUGUUACUGAAAGUAAGAAGAUCGUUUGCAGCAAAGCAAAGUUAUGCAGGGUAAGUUGGUCUUUCAAUUAUAGUCCACCACACUAAUCCUUGCCAUCAAAAUUCUGCUAAAUUGUACGUUGUAAUCUCCUUCUAACUACACUUUACAUUUUACAAUCUCUAAGUAUGAAGAUCCAAUCACCUUAUCUGAAAGAAAAUAAUGACUUCUGAAGGAACAAAAUAGCCCCCCCUUGUAAUUAAGACUUUCAAUAGGACGGUUAUAAGAGGAGACAUACACGUUCGCGUGAAUUUAUUUUUCCUUGGCCUUCUUUGAAGCUCAAACUGAUUCUAAAUGUAAGUUCUUCUAGCAGUUAAUUUAUGAUAAUUGGCUCUUGUUAUAUCCUCUACGUUUGCCUUGCUAAAUUAGUCCUUUUCACCCUGCACAACAACCAUUUUGGUCUUUAAAAGUGUCAUGAAUGGCAAACUGCAGCAGAAGUUAGAUGACAAAUUGCAACCUAGAAAGCUUGCGUGGCAAAGCGAUAGAAAUUUUACAAACCUAAUCUUAGUAUUUAUUUCAUAAUACCUGUCUAUGCUAGAAAAUUUGGCAGGGAAAAGCAACUGAUGAUUCGACUCCUCCUUCAACAAUGACCGUGCAGAAAAAUUUAACUCCAAAAGGAGUGCACCAAAAUAAAGGGUUCAAGGUUGAAGCUUCAAAAUCUGGGCUAGAGGGAAAUCCAAUCAUGAGUUAGACAACACCUGAAGAUGGUGUGCAGUGAACUGAUGGAUGUGCAUGGCUAUAAAGUACAGCCCACUGUCGGCUAUAAAUCACCUAUUGUUAGAGCUUCCCUUCUUGAUGUGGUUAGUGAUGUUGUCAGGCCGCUGAAAACUAGUGAUAUUAAUUCUUCUUCCAUUAAAGCUAUGAAAUCUGUAGUCUCUGAUGCUGCGGAUGCCAAGCAUGAUGUAACUUGGCUGCAACAGUAUCUGGCUGAGAUUUUCGAAGAGGAAGAUAUGGAGGGAAAGUAUUCCUAUCUAAUGGCGUUAAGAGAGACAACCAUGCUUGUCUCUAAAGCAGCUAAACAGGACUUGGUAGAAAGGAACAGUGAGGUCUUAGCAGCAGAGAAACGGCUUCCAAAGGCUGAAAGGCGCUUGCAAGAGGCCAAAAGCUGAGCAACAGAGGCUAAAAGGUCUGUCAAAGUAUUUGACAUACUAGGUAAAAAAGUUCAGCGGGACAUCAAGGAGACUACAGAUCAAGUACAGUAUUGGCUGAGUAGACUGAAUGAGCUUUUGUAGCCCGGAGCUGUUUUAUAUUUGACAUAUAUAGCUUGUUUAUGUCAAGACAUUUUGGUAAUUGUGAACAAUCAUCAAGAUGGUAGAUGGUUGAAUCUUGUUUUUUAUAUGAUGGUAACAUUUAUCACUUUUCACGAAUAUUCACAUUUUGUGCAGUACCGACUUUGUCAUAUUAACAAAAACUAGACUGGGGUUUUUGUAUGUAAUGCUAUAACACCUUCAACAA